rnacentral:rRNA from 1 species
CUACGGGUCGCAGCAGUGAGGAAUAUUGCACAAUGGGGGGAACCCUGAUGCAGCAACGCCGCGUGGAGGAUGACGCAUUUCGGUGUGUAAACUCCUUUUAUAUGUCAAGAAAAUGACGGUAGCAUAUGAAUAAGCACCGGCUAACUCCGUGCCAGCAGCCGCGGUAAUACGGAGGGUGCAAGCGUUACUCGGAAUCACUGGGCGUAAAGGGCGCGUGGGCGGGUUGGAAAGUCAGGUGUGAAAUCCUACAGCUUAACUGUAGAACUGCACUUGAAACUUCUAAUCUAGAGUAUGGGAGGGGGAGAUGGAAUUAGUGGUGUAGGGGUAAAAUCCGUAGAUAUCACUAGGAAUACCUAAAGCGAAGGCGAUCUCCUGGAACAUUACUGACGCUAAGGCGUGAAAGCGUGGGGAGCAAACAGGAUUAGAUACCCUAGUAGUC